rfam:Neurospora crassa OR74A unplaced genomic scaffold supercont12.8, whole genome shotgun sequence.
UACUUAAUUAAUUUUAUUAGUAAUUAUAUAUUUAUUUUAAAGAUUAAGCUAUAUAUAUCUAAAUUUAAGUAAUUAAACUGCGAAAUUACAAAUAGCUUAUUAAAUUAAUUAUAAUUUAUUUAAUAAUACUUUACUAUAUAGAUAACCGUGGUAAUUCUAGAGUUAAUAUAUAUUAAAAACCCCAACUUCGGAAGGGGUAUAUUUAUUAAAUUAAAAACUAAUACCCUUCGGGGCUAAUUAAUAAUUUAUAAUAAUUUUUCGAAUUGUAUAGCCUUAUACUAGCAAUGGUUUAUUUAAAUUUCUACCUUAUUAACUUUCAAUGGCUAGGUUUUAGCUAAUUAUAGUAAUAAUAGGUAAUGGAGGGUUAGAACUCGACCUUAGAGAAGGAGCCUAAAAAAUAGCUACUAUAUUUAAGGAAGGUAGUAGGCGCGUAAAUUAUUUAAUUCUAAUAUAGGGAGGUAAUAAUAAUAAAUAUUAAUAUAAGGCUUUUUUGGGUUUUGUAAUUAGAAUAAAUACAAUUUAAAUCCUUUAACGAAGAAUAAUUAGAGGGUAAAUUUAGUAUUAGCAGCCGUAGUAAUUCCAAUUCUAAUAGUAUAUAUUAAAGUUAUUAAAAUUAAAAAACUCGUAGUUGAACUUUAGGCUCGGUCCGUCGGUCCGCUUUACUAUAUAUAUUAACUAAGUUGGGCCUUUUUUUUUAGAGAACUGUAUACCCUUUAUUAGGUAUAUUAGGGAACUAGGACUUUUACUAUAAAUAAAUUAGAUUGUUUAAAGAAGGCCUAUAUUUAAAUAUAUUAGUAUAGAAUAAUAGAAUAGGAUAUAUAGUUCUAUUUUAUUGGUUUCUAAGACUGUUAUAAUAAUUAAUAGGGAUAGUCGGGGGUAUUAAUAUUUAAUUAUUAGAGGUGAAAUUCUUAGAUUUAUUAAAGAUUAAUUAUUAUAAAAACAUUUACUAAGAAUGUUUUUAUUAAUUAGGAAUAAAAGUUAGGGGAUUAAAGACGAUUAAAUACUAUUGUAGUUUUAAUUAUAAAUUAUACUGAUUAGGGAUUGGACGGUAUUAUUUUUUAACCCGUUCGGUACUUUAUAAUAAAUUAAAAUAUUUAGGCUCCUAAGGGAAUAUAGUCGUAAGGUUGAAAUUUAAAGAAAUUGAUAGAAGGGUACUAUUAGGGGUGGAGUUUAUAGUUUAAUUUAAUUUAAUAUAGAGAAAUUCACUAGGUUUAAAUAUAAUAAGGAUUAAUAAAUUAAAAGCUCUUUCUUAAUUUUGUAGGUGGUAGUAUAUAGCCGUUCUUAAUUAGUAGAGUAAUUUGUUUAUUUAAUUAUAAUAACGAAUGAGACUUUAACCUACUAAAUAGCCUGUAUUACUUUAGUAAUAUGUUAAUUUCUUAGAGGGAUUAUUGGUUUAAAUUAAUAAAAGUUUGAGGUAAUAAUAGGUUUAUAAUACCCUUAAAUAUUCUAAGCCGUAUGUACGUUAUAUUAAUACAGCUAGCGAAUACUCCUUUAGCCGGAAGGUUCGAGUAAUCUUAUUAAAUUAUAUUAUACUAGGGAUAGAGCAUUAUAAUUAUUACUCUUCAAUAAAGAAUCUUUAGUAAAUAUAAAUUAUUAGUUUGCGUUAAUUACGUUUUUACCUUUUAUAUAUACCGCCUAUUGCUAUUAUUAAUUAAAUAGUUUAGUAAGGCUUCCGGAUUGGUUUAAGGAGGUCGGCAAUAAUUACCUAGGGUUAGAAAACUAUUUAAAUUCGGUUAUUUAGAGGAAGUAAAAAUCGUAAUAAAAUUUCUAUUAAUAAACUAGUAGAAGGAUUAUUA